rnacentral:rRNA from 1 species
GACGAACGCUGGCGGCGUGCUUAACACAUGCAAGUCGAACGGUAAGGCCCUGCUUUUGUGGGGUGCUCGUGUGGCGAACGCGUGUGUAUCACGUGUGUAACCUGCCCUUUUCUUUGGGAUAACUUCUGGAAACUCGGGCUAUUACCCCAUAUGAUCUCCUGCUGCAUGGUGGUUGUUUGAAAUUUUCGGCGUUUGGGGAUGGACUCGCGGCUUAUCAGCUUGUUGGUGGGGUAGUGGAUUACCAAGGCUUUGACGGGUAGCCUGCAUGCGAGGGUGACCGGCCACAAUGGGACAGAGAGAGGGACCAGAGUGCAACGGGAGGAAGCAGUGGGGAAUAUUGCACAAUGGGCGGAAGGAGGAUGGAGAAACGACGCGUGCGGGAAGACGGGCUGCGGGUUGUAAAAAGAUUGAGAAUGUGAAGAAGAGAGAGUGACGGUAAUGGGUAAAGAAGCAACGGCUAACUACGUG